rnacentral:rRNA from 1 species
CCUACGGGGGGCAGCAGUGAGGAAUAUUGGUCAAUGGACGAGAGUCUGAACCAGCCAAGUAGCGUGAAGGAUGACUGCCCUAUGGGUUGUAAACUUCUUUUAUAUGGGAAUAAAAUGUUCCACGUGUGGGAUUUUGUAUGUACCAUAUGAAUAAGGAUCGGCUAACUCCGUGCCAGCAGCCGCGGUAAUACGGAGGAUCCGAGCGUUAUCCGGGUUUAUUGGGUUUAAAGGGGGCGUAGGUGGAUUGUUAAGUUAGUUGUGAAAUUUUGCGGCUCAACCGUAAUAUUGCAGUUGAAACUGGCAGUCUUGAGUACAGUAGAGGUGGGCGGAAUGCGUGGUGUAGCGGUGAAAUGCUUAGAUAUCACGAAGAACUCCGAUUGCGAAGGCAGCUCACUGGACUGCAACUGACACUGAGGCUCGAAAGUGUGGGUAUCAAACAGGAUUAGAUACCCUUGUAGUC